CCUACGGGAGGCAGCAGUGAGGAAUAUUGGUCAAUGGCCGAGAGCCUGAACCAGCCAAGUCGCGUGAGGGAAGACGGCCCUACGGGUUGUAAACUUCUUUUGUCGGGGAGAAAAGCGAAGCACGUGUGGCUUUUUGCGUGUAUUUUAUGAAAAAGCAUCGGCUAACUCCGUGCCAGCAGCCGCGGUAAUACGGAGGAUCCGAGCGUUAGCCGGAUUUAUUGGGUUUAAAGGGAGCGUAGGUGGGUGGUGAAGUCAGUGGUGAAAGUUGCGGGGUCAACCCUCGUAUUGCCUUUGAUACUGGAAGCCUUGAGUGCAGUAGAGGUAGGCGGAAUGCGUGGUGUAGCGGUGAAAUGCGUAGAUAUCACGAAGAACUCCGAUUGCGAAGGCAGCCUACUGGACUGCCACUGACGUUGAUGCUCGAAAGCGUGGGUAUCAAACAGGAUUAGAUACCCGUGUAGUC
rnacentral:rRNA from 1 species